rnacentral:lncRNA from 1 species
AUAUCAAUAAGAAACAGUAAAUAAUCAGCACUGCAUGAAUCUCACAGCUCAGCACCAAAGAAUAGAGCACAAAAAUAAAGUUCUUGUUUAAAAGCUGCUACAAUAUACAAAUAUUACAUCUUGAUUAUAAUUUUAUUCUUAUUUCCCUGGGGCUGUCUUAUGAUGAUGUAUCCUAUUGACUUUGUCUAAAAUAUCAGAAGUUCAGACUUUAUUUCUGAAGAGUUCUUCUGACACUAAAAUUUUAUUUAACCUGAGAUAAAGAAAGAAGUACUAGUAGGCUUUAUAAAGUUGGGUUUGCCACUUUCCAAGUGGAUCUCAGUCCCCUCUUUGAGAGAGUUGGGACUUUAAACAUAAUCUGGAGAUUUUUCAGAUUUACAACUUUUGAUAUUCUAUGAGUAUGUUUGAAGAAAACUAGAAUAGGGUUAAAUUUGUAUUUUAAGCAUUUGAGAUACUUUAAUAGG